rnacentral:rRNA from 1 species
AACGAGACCUUAACCUGCUAAAUAGUCCGGCCGGCUUUUGCUGGUCGCAGACUGCUUAGAGGGACUGUCAGCGUCUAGCUGACGGAAGUUUGAGGCAAUAACAGGUCUGUGAUGCCCUUAGAUGUUAUGGGCAGAACGCGCGCUAAACUGACAGAGACAGAGAGUUAUCACAUUGGCCGGAAGGUCUGGGUAAUCUUGUGAAACU